rnacentral:rRNA from 1 species
UACGUAGGGGGCAAGCGUUAUCCGGAUUUACUGGGUGUAAAGGGAGCGUAGACGGCGACGCAAGUCUGAAGUGAAAUACCCGGGCUCAACCUGGGAACUGCGUUGGAAACUGUGUUGCUAGAGUGCUGGAGAGGUAAGCGGAAUUCCUAGUGUAGCGGUGAAAUGCGUAGAUAUUAGGAAGAACACCAGUGGCGAAGGCGGUUUACUGGACAGUAACUGACGUUGAGGCUCGAAAGCGUGGGGAGCAAACGGG